rnacentral:rRNA from 1 species
UACAGAGGAGCCAAGCGUUGUCCGGAUUGACUGGGCGUAAAGCGCACGCAGGCGGGGGUGCGCGUGGGGUGUGAAAUCUGGCCGCUUAACGGCCAGGCGCCAUCCCAUACGGCACGCCUGGAGCCUUGCAGAGGUCGGUGGAAUUGCCGGUGUAGUGGUGAAAUGCGUAGAGAUCCGGAGGAACACCGAAGGCGAAGGCAGUGUCCUGGCGGAGCGACUGACGCGUGAGGUGACCGGAA